UACGGAGGGUGCGAGCGUUGUCCGGAAUCACUGGGCGUAAAGAGCUCGUAGGCGGCUUGUCGCGUCGACUGUGAAAACCUGCGGACUCAACCGUAUGGUCUGCAGCCGAUACGGGCAGGCUAGAGGUUCGGUAGGGGAGACUGGAAUUCCUGGUGUAGCGGUGAAAUGCGCAGAUAUCAGGAGGAACACCGGUGGCGAAGGCGGGUCUCUGGGCCGAUACUGACGCUGAGGAGCGAAAGCGUGGGGAGCGAACAGG
rnacentral:rRNA from 1 species